CUUUUAUGGGGUGACUGCGUACCUUUUGUAUAAUGGGUCAGCGACUUAUAUUCUGUAGCAAGGUUAACCGAAUAGGGGAGCCGGAGGGAAACCGAGUCUUAACCGGGCGUUAAGUUGCAGGGUAUAGACCCGAAACCCGGUGAUCUAGCCAUGGGCAGGUUGAAGGUUGGGUAACACUAACUGGAGGACCGAACCGACUAAUGUUGAAAAAUUAGCGGAUGACCUGUGGCUGGGGGUGAAAGGCCAAUCAAACCGGGAGAUAGCUGGUUCUCCCCGAAAGCUAUUUAGGUAGCGCCUCGUGAAUUCAUCUCCGGGGGUAGAGCACUGUUUCGGCUAGGGGGCCAUCCCGGCUUACCAACCCGAUGCAAACUGCGAAUACCGGAGAAUGUUAUCACGGGAGACACACGGCGGGUGCUAACGUCCGUCGUGAAGAGGGAAACAACCCAGACCGCCAGCUAAGGUCCCAAAGUCAUGGUUAAGUGGGAAACGAUGUGGGAAGGCCCAGACAGCCAGGAUGUUGGCUUAGAAGCAGCCAUCAUUUAAAGAAAGCGUAAUAGCUCACUGGUCGAGUCGGCCUGCGCGGAAGAUGUAACGGGGCUAAACCAUGCACCGAAGCUGCGGCAGCGAACGUAUCACUUAAAGCGAUUCAGCGGGUUACGAUUGACGGAGCGAAGCGACGUCAAAGCGUAUACAAAGUCGAGUCGGUUUAAGGAUACGUUCGUUGGGUAGGGGAGCGUUCUGUAAGCCUGCGAAGGUGGCCUGUGAGGGUUGCUGGAGGUAUCAGAAGUGCGAAUGCUGACAUAAGUAACGAUAAAGCGGGUGAAAAGCCCGCUCGCCGGAAGACCAAGGGUUCCUGUCCAACGUUAAUCGGGGCAGGGUGAGUCGACCCCUAAGGCGAGGCCGAAAGGCGUAGUCGAUGGGAAACGGGUUAAUAUUCCCGUACUUGGUGUUACUGCGAAGGGGGGACGGAGAAGGCUAUGUUGGCCGGGCGACGGUUGUCCCGGUUUAAGCGUGUAGGUGUGUGUUCCAGGUAAAUCCGGUUCACUUUAACACUGAGGCGUGAUGACGAGGCACUACGGUGCUGAAGCAACAAAUGCCCUGCUUCCAGGAAAAGCCUCUAAGCAUCAGGUAACAUCAAAUCGUACCCCAAACCGACACAGGUGGUCAGGUAGAGAAUACCAAGGCGCUUGAGAGAACUCGGGUGAAGGAACUAGGCAAAAUGGUGCCGUAACUUCGGGAGAAGGCACGCUGACAC
rnacentral:rRNA from 1 species